GACAAAGCUCCGUUUCGAAAAUUUGCCAGAGAAAUGAGGGCUGAAGGACGUAGCUUUUUCAGUUUUUAGGCUGUAGCCUAUAUUGAUGCCAGCAUCAGAGGAAUCCUGAAACAAAGUUGCUACCUCAGAAGGCUUAAGUUUCAUGCUGCAGACAAUGAUUUGCAUUUUCUAUUUUUAUUUUCACAUUAGGACUAGUUAGUAAUUUUCAUUUCUGUUGGAUGCUCGGAGCCUCAAACCAUCUAAUGUAAUUGAUGGGUACUUAUUAGGAUUGCAACCUUUUUUUAAUAUUCAGAUGUUUGCAUUCU